UAAAUAUCUUUUAAGUGUUUAAUUUACUGGAGCAUCAAAAUACUUAAAUUGGUGAAGCUAGUAUGGCUUGUUUACCAUGCAUUCUAACUUUGAGAUGUUCUGAAUGUGAAGUUAAGUAGAAUGUAAUGAUUUGAUCCAUAUAUCUCACCUCUUCAGUCCAAGGUCUGUAGGUUAGAAGUUAGAAUGGGAAAGGGGUAGUGGUGUUUUUUCACCUCUCUUCUGUCUGGAAAACUUCUAACCCUUUCCCUUUGUACGUUUGUCAAAUCCUACUUGUCCUUCAAGCAUCUUGAUACACUGGUAGCAUUAAUUAUGUAUUCUAGAACUCCUUACACUUGAGGCACAAUGAAAAGCUUCUUUCAUGCAAUGUUUCUUUAAAUAUAGGAAGUUUUAAAUGGACAUUUGGGGCUGUGCUUUCAAUUAUACUUUGAAAAGACUUUCCCCAAAUUGCUACUGUCAAAGACAACCCUAUGUUAAAAAAGAGAGGACAGAGCAAUUUAUAUCAAUGAAAAAAAUAUCUAAACUUUAUUGAAAUCACUGUAUUGUUCACCAACAAAAAGGUAGACUGUAUUCUGAAGGCUUCUUCUAGAGACUGAGCUGCCAUUUGGCUGAAUUGCCCUGGCCUCACUGUGAGUGAAUCUCUGCCCCUAAAAUGAAAUCUCUUCCUUACUUACAAGUAAGUAAUACUUACGAGUAUUUACUGUGGUUAUAAGUUUUUGUUCUUUCAUAAUAAAUCUAGCCCAAAGACAUUUCUUUCCUGUAAAUUUGCCUCCACAGAAGUGCUCGUAAACAGUAUCUGCCUCCAUUACCUGUGGUAGACCCAAGUUUGACCAUUUUGUAGAGUAAGCAUAUGCACUAAGAAUCAAUAUGUGUUUUAUUAGCACCAAGAGACUCAUUGGAUUGAUUUUUUUUUUCUUUUUACCUUUAUGGGCAAUUGCUAUAAAAAGGUAAAUUAAAAAGUUAACCAUCUGCUACCUCACUUUUCAUUUAAAAUCUUUUAUUUGAUUACUCUUUCCAGGUAAUCAAUGCUUUCUAUUUUGCUAUUAUACUAGGUAGUGAAUGAAGGUGGUUUUAAUUUAUAGCUUUUAUUUAUCUUACAGUAUUGUCAGAGUCACAAUCUUUAUGCGUCCUAUUAGUAGUCUGGAAAAUAUUUCUUACUACAUCGAAACAGAACAAAAUUCAAUUUAGAAAUAUAAUUUCCUGCCAUGGAGACACUUGAUAACAGGGGGGAGAUUAAUGGAGCCCAGUGACAGAAACUUGAUUUAAAGCAGGAGAUUAAUACUGCUUUAUCAGCCUACACUGCAAGUGAAUUGGCUCCUAAAGAAAAAAAAAUCUUUUUGAAGUUGCUGAGUUGUCUGCCUGUCGGCUGGAAAAAGGUCCCUGGACAUCUAUUUUGUUAUUGCCGAGUAUUUGCUGCAAGCUUGUCCAUUUGACAACAUAGGAACAAACCUGCACACAACACCAGUCUUGCUUAUUUUACAGUAGUAACAUAUUUCUUCUUAUUCCUUUUGAUCCCACAGGAAGCUUGGAUGCUGUGGAGGUCAGCCUCUGACUUAAGGGGAUUAUAUUCAGUAAAUCAUGUCAAAAUUAACGAAUAGAAUUGCGCUGACACUUCAGUUUGGUUGGAUUUAGGGCAAUAAAUGGAAAGGAAAAGGCUGAGAUAGAGAUCCAUUCAUCUAUCCCUUCAUCCAACCAUUCAACUCUCCAGUUACUGACUGUAUGUUACAUGCCUCACCUGAGUGUAGGGACUGAGGAUGAAAAAAUGGGCAGGAUGCAGACCUGACCACUGAAUGCUUCAUAAUCAGCAGGGCAACCCCUCUGCAUGCGGGUUACUGUACUGCCAAUCUCCAGGUUCCAUACAAAACAGAGUGUUGUGAGAGCACAGAGAAGAAAGCAACUCGUUUUUUGGCCAGCAUUUUGUAUCUUAUAGACUUUAUUCAGCAUUUCCUUAACAUGUCCAUAUAGAAUAGAAACUGAUCUCCACAAUGGUAACUCUGGGAUAUUGCAAGAUCCUAGGGUGCCCUCCAAAUCACUGAAAAAAGACUUUAGAGUUAUCUGUAUUUUAUUAUAUUCUAGGCCAUAAAUAUUAAAAUAAAUUUUGUAUUCCCUCCAA